GGAGAGACCCAAAAAAUCAUGGUGUCUGCAAAACUGAUUUACCACAGAUGAUCAGAUGAUCAGCUUGCAGCUGCAAGUUGUAGGGAUGAUAAGCAGACAAUACUACUUGUUGAGAUGAACCACAACUUAGUCUUGGACGUGAUGCUAAUAUUGCUCUUGUACAGCAUCAUUGUUGGGUAGGGGUUGCUGGCAAAAGCACAGCUCACAUCACAGUCAUUGCCAUGACUCAUUCUGUGAUUCUUCAAUGGGACGACAAAACAAGGAAGCAGAGAUCUUCCUGGGAUACUCCAUCUUGAAGCCAAAACACUCUGCUGAGGAUGGAGUCACUGUGGGAUGCUUCGCACUGCACUGUCUGUUGCACACGCAAACACAGAGCCAGCACCAUCAAGACAGAGUCUUCUGCACAAGUACAAAUCCAAAGAGCUUGGGUAUGGUAUUUCAUGACCUGGGCCUUAUUUGCCACCAGGGAAAACUCAGGGAAACGAUUUCAUUCAGGGAAGAACAAACAAUACACCACAUUACUGUUAGCAUCUGACCAGCAUACCUAUAUCAACAUGUAAACAAAUACAAACUGAAAAGCAAGAGCAGAAGGAAUCAAAAAUCUUAUUCUCUCAUCAAUCUAUGCAACUGUAAGCAAGCAAUUAAUUUUGUUGUUUCUUGGUCUGUAAAUGAGGUAUCAUGUUUUUGCUCCAUGGGGAUAUAUUGAUGCCUUCUCUCACUAACGCCUUUAAAUUGUAAAGUGCUUUUGGAUAUUUGGCUCCCAAAGCACUUUAGAAAUGCAUGAUUAAAUUACACCCAAGUACAAACCAAAGCAGGUGAUCUUGUAAAGGAAGGGAUAUUACUCUGCUGGUGUCUCUCUAAGGCACUAAUAGUCUACGGAAUGCCCUGAGGGAAUCAAGGGAAAGUGAGUGUGCAAUUUAUUUUCCAGUGUCCACUGCAAAACUUCCACUUCCAGCCUGUUUAAACACAUUUCUUGAAGUCUUUAUUAUCAACUUUUGCACUGGAAUGAAGACCCUUCAGAUAAAUCCCUGGAUCCUAAAUGUAGCAAUGUAUAGCAAAAUUCUCCUAUGAUAACUCAUUCUCAGAAAAUAAUUUAUCUCCUUCUUAUCCUUCAGAGCUUUUCUACCAUCUCUCAGGUUUGUGCAAAUAAACCAUGUGACUUGCCAUUUAUAAAGAAGAAUAGGAAAUCAGUUCUCAUCUGCUUGUGUCCUGCUAUCCUCCCUAAAAACAGGAAAAACCCAACCUCCCCAACUCCAGUAUUGAUGGAGAAAUUGUGUGAAAUUUCUGUCAGCAGAGGAAUACCUCCUGUCAGUACCCAGAGGUGACCAAGAUGAUCAAGUUUGUUCUAUACUGUACCUGCAACUUGCAUCUGAAUGUCAUAAAGGCAUUCUCCAUAACUGUUCUUGAGGAUAAUCUGGUACUAGUCAGAAACCAAUUGCCUGGUCUUGUGAAUAGGGAUGGCAAAUGGUUCUUGUGCUCCCUCAUGCUGGUAUGCCUUCUUUUUGCCACAUCACUGGUGGUGGUGGUGACGAGUCCUGGCCAGGGCAAACAUACAGCUAUAGUGUUCUGCUUCCUGGCUCAGAAGGCAACAGAAACAAGCUACAUCUCUGAGCACAAAAGAGAUAUCUGUGUCUACAAGAGCCACUUGUACAUGAUCAGCCUGACAGAAAAAUAGUUCAAGGACAACAGUCCUAGAGAUUUCUUCAAGCUGUAAAGGUUUUGCACUCAGCAAAAUGCAUAGAACUUGAUUAGCCUGGGAGAUGCCACAUAAACCUCAUACUACAGUUCAUUAGUUUGAUCAUUGUGAAAGCUGAGAGAAAACAGCUGAUGUGAUACAGAUAAACUUGUACACUGUGGCUGAUUCUGCAAAGUACUGUAGAGCCUCAGCUCAUGCAGUAGUCUAUGCUUAAAAAAAAAGGAAAGCACAGAAGGUGCCCUUAGCCUCUACAGAAAUGAGAUCAAUAUCCACGUUAAUAGAAAUUGUACCUCAGAAAGGACAGUGCUGAGACAUCAAGCAUUAUCUUUAUAACUCAGUGACUCCCCUGGGUCACUCAAGGUUUACUCAAGAAUUAUUUCACUUUGGUUAGUGUUAACUGAA